AUUGAACGCUGGCGGCAGGCCUAACACAUGCAAGUCGAGCGGAUGAAGGGAGCUUUCUCCUGGCUUCAGCUGCGGACGGGCGAGUAAUUCCUAGGAAUCUGCCCUGCCUAUAGGGCUAACGUCCCUACAGGGGCGCUAAUACCGUAUACGUCCUUAUGUUGAAACGGGGGGUUCUUUGGACCUCACGCUAUUUGAUGAGCCUAGGUCGGAUUAGCUAGUUGGUUGGGUAACGGCCUACCAAGGCGACGAUCCGUAACUGGUCUGAGAGGAUGAUCAGCCACACUGGAACUGAGACACGGUCCAGACUCCUACGGGAGGCAGCAGUGGGGAAUCUUGCGCAAUGGGCGAAAGCCUGAUCCAGCCAUGCCGCGUGUGUGAAGAAGGUCUUCGGAUUGUAAAGCUCUUUAAGUUGGGAAGAAGAACUGUGAGUUAAUACCUUCAUGUUUUGACGUUACCAACAGAAUAAGCACCGGCUAACUUCGUG
rnacentral:rRNA from 1 species